rnacentral:snoRNA from 13 species
GAGCAAUGAUGAAAUGGUUUUACAACUGACCUUUAUAACUAUGAAGUUUUCUACACUUGACCUGAGCUCA